rnacentral:rRNA from 1 species
ACGAGAGGCCCAAACGUUAUUCGGAAUUACUGGGCUUAAAGAGUUCGUAGGCGGCAUGAAAAGCAGGGUGUGAAAGCCCUCGGCUCAACCGAGGAAUUGCGCUCUGAACUGUCGUGCUUGAGGAACCUAGAGGUGAGCAGAACUGAUGGUGGAGCGGUGAAAUGCGUUGAUAUCAUCAGGAAUACCGGAGGCGAAGGCGGCUCACUGGGGGUUUUCUGACGCUGAGGAACGAAAGCCAGGGGAGCGAACGGGA